ACUACGGGAGGCAGCAGUGAGGAAUAUUGGUCAAUGGGCGGAAGCCUGAACCAGCCAAGUAGCGUGCAGGAUGACGGCCCUACGGGUUGUAAACUGCUUUUAUACGGGAAUAACGCGCCUUACGUGUAGGGCUUUGCAUGUACCGUAUGAAUAAGGACCGGCUAAUUCCGUGCCAGCAGCCGCGGUAAUACGGAAGGUCCGGGCGUUAUCCGGAUUUAUUGGGCUUAAAGGGAGCGUAGGCCGCAUGUCAAGCGUGCUGUGAAAUGUCCGGGCUCAACCCGGGCCUUGCAGCGCGGACUGGCGUGCUUGAGUCCGCGGAAGGCAGGCGGAAUUCGUCGUGUAGCGGUGAAAUGCUUAGAUAUGACGAAGAACCCCGAUUGCGAAGGCAGCUUGCUGCAGCGGAACUGACGCUGAUGCUCGAAAGCGCGGGUAUCGAACAGGAUUAGAUACCCCAGUAGUC
rnacentral:rRNA from 1 species